UUGGUACGAUGAUGACGCUAGCCGAUUUCAACAAAGACGGAUACGUUGAAUUCGAGGAAUUCGAGAAGGUUCUAGACAGUUGUGGAAGCAGAAAGGAUGAUGAGAAAAGGAGAAAUGGAACGUUAGGAGGGGUGAAUGUAAUGGAGGAUGUUUUCAAGGUGAUGGACAAAGAUGGUGAUGGCAAAGUUGGGCAUGAGGAUCUUAAGAGUUACCUGAAUUGGGCUGGGCUUCAAGUGGAUGAUGAUGAUGUUAAGGCCAUGAUCAAAUUGGGCCCUGGUCAUGGUAAUGAUGGUGUUACCUAUGAAGGUUUUCUUCAGA
rnacentral:lncRNA from 1 species